rnacentral:rRNA from 1 species
AACCCAAUAACUAGCCCC